CACCGAAGCACAACACGUUCCGGGCCUGAGCCGAGCGCGUCCUCGUGCACGCACGUCCACACAAUAGCGGACACGCCAGUGGUGGUCUAACGCGCGGCACCGCUAAUGCACGCGACCUCGGAAGCGUAUCGUAUGAGCCUGAAAUCUCUCGCAGUUAAGGAGACGUCAUACAGACAGCGCAAAAGGAGGAUGUAAAGGUCCAACGAGUGAAAGAACAUCAACAUCUGACAUCACUUCCAGGUUCUUGUCAUUGGAGCGCACCACUUCUGCCUCUGCCACCUCAUAACCAGCUCAGUCUUAUCUUGAACUCUGAUCUGAAAAGACAGCCUCUUGAUGAUUUGUAAUACUUUUAUUUUUCUGCCAACAAUUUUACAGGGAUCACCUAUUGGUGCCCCUACACUUUAUGCUCUUGUUUUUAUUUCAAUACAGUGGAGGGAGCAUAAUGAUUUGGGCUGCUUUGUUUACUUAGAGGCCUGGACAGCUAGCCAUCAUUAAGGGGGAAAUGAAUUUCUAAGCUUAUCAAGGAAUCUGACAGGAUAAUGUGUGAUGUAGCAUGACAAUAACUCUAAACAUUGAAGAAAAUCUACUACAGGGCCUAGACUUUAACCCAAAAGAGAUUUUGUGGAAUGACAAGUGAUCCAUUCUUGCCAGACAUCCUAGGAAUAUGGGUGAGCUGAAGCAACUUUGUAAGGAAGAAUAGUCCAAACUUCCUUCUGAACAUUCUAGAAGUUUAAUCUGCAGCUACUAGAAGCACCUAAUAAAGGUAUUGCUGCCAAACAAGGUACAACUAAGUAUUAAAUCAGAGGGUUCACUUACGUUUUCCACAGUACACUGUAAAUGUUCGAUGGGUAUCUUUAAUACAGACAUGAAACAUUA